rnacentral:rRNA from 1 species
UACGUAGGGGGCAAGCGUUAUCCGGAUUUACUGGGUGUAAAGGGAGCGCAGGUGGCAGUGCAAGUCAGAAGUGAAACCCCGAGGCUUAACUUCGGGCAUGCUUUUGAAACUGCACAGCUGGAGUGCUGGAGGGGUAAGCGGAAUUCCUGGUGUAGCGGUGAAAUGCGUAGAUAUCAGGAAGAACACCGGUGGCGAAGGCGGCUUACUGGACAGCAACUGACACUGAGGCUCGAAGGCGUGGGGAG